rnacentral:rRNA from 1 species
UACGGAGGGGGCGAGCGUUGUCCGGAUUUAUUGGGCGUAAAGAGCUCGUAGGCGGUUUGGCAAGUCGGGUGUGAAACCUCCAGGCUCAACCUGGAGUCGCCACCCGAUACUGCUAUGACUUGAGUCUGGUAGGGGAUCACGGAAUUCCUGGUGUAGCGGUGAAAUGCACAGAUAUCAGGAGGAACACCGGUGGCGAAGGCGGUGAUCUGGGCCAGUACUGACGCUCAAGAGCGAAAGCGUGGGUAGCGAACAGG